AGUGAACCAGUACCGUGAGGGAAAGGCGAAAAGAACCCCGGCGAGGGGAGUGAAAAAGAACCUGAAACCGUGUACGUACAAGCAGUGGGAGCACCUUCGGGUGUGACUGCGUACCUUUUGUAUAAUGGGUCAGCGACUUAUAUUCUGUAGCAAGGUUAACCGUAUAGGGGAGCCGCAGGGAAACCGAGUCUUAACUGGGCGUUAAGUUGCAGGGUAUAGACCCGAAACCCGGUGAUCUAGCCAUGGGCAGGUUGAAGGUUGGGUAACACUAACUGGAGGACCGAACCGACUAAUGUUGAAAAAUUAGCGGAUGACUUGUGGCUGGGGGUGAAAGGCCAAUCAAACCGGGAGAUAGCUGGUUCUCCCCGAAAGCUAUUUAGGUAGCGCCUCGUGAACUCAUCUUCGGGGGUAGAGCACUGUUUCGGCUAGGGGGUCAUCCCGACUUACCAACCCGAUGCAAACUACGAAUACCGAAGAAUGUUAUCACGGGAGACACACGGCGGGUGCUAACGUCCGUCGUGAAGAGGGAAACAACCCAGACCGCCAGCUAAGGUCCCAAAGUCAUGGUUAAGUGGGAAACGAUGUGGGAAGGCACAGACAGCCAGGAUGUUGGCUUAGAAGCAGCCAUCAUUUAAAGAAAGCGUAAUAGCUCACUGGUCGAGUCGGCCUGCGCGGAAGAUGUAACGGGGCUAAACCAUGCACCGAAGCUGCGGCAGCGACACUAUGUGUUGUUGGGUAGGGGAGCG
rnacentral:rRNA from 1 species